GACGAACGCUGGCGGCGCGCCUAAUACAUGCAAGUCGAGCGGACUGAUUAAGAGCUUGCUCUUAUGACGUUAGCGGCGGACGGGUGAGUAACACGUGGGCAACCUGCCCUGUAGAUCGGGAUAACACCGAGAAAUCGGUGCUAAUACCGGGUAAUAUCUGAGAUCACAUGAUCUUAGGUUAAAAGAUGGCUCCGGCUAUCACUACAGGAUGGGCCCGCGGCGCAUUAGCUAGUUGGUAAGGUAAUGGCUUACCAAGGCGACGAUGCGUAGCCGACCUGAGAGGGUGAUCGGCCACACUGGGACUGAGACACGGCCCAGACUCCUACGGGAGGCAGCAGUAGGGAAUCUUCCGCAAUGGACGAAAGUCUGACGGAGCAACGCCGCGUGAGUGAUGAAGGGUUUCGGCUCGUAAAGCUCUGUUGUUAGGGAAGAAACAGUACCGAACGAACUAGGUCGGUACCUUGACGGUACCUAACCAGAAAGCCACGGCUAACUACGUG
rnacentral:rRNA from 1 species